ACGUGGGUCUGGGAUAACCUUGAAAUAUACCGGUUCUUGGUACAGUAUAUGGAAAUGAUUAAGAAAAUUGAUUUGACUACAUAUGUUACCAAAAACGCACUAAUUUUUUUAAUCACACAUCCAUUUAGAAUUACAAGAUUAAGCGUAUUUGAGAUGGAGUAGUAGAAGAAAGGUGAUCCAUCAGAGAUUGAUUCGCGAUACCGUGUAAAUGAGGCCAAAGCACGGAAAAAAGUCAUGUAGUGAUUGCAUAGUCAGUAAGCAAUGAUUUUGAGCCUUCAAAAUAUUAUUGCACCGUCCGUCGAAUAGAAUGGUCCCGCGGACUGAAUGAACAAGAAUGGUAACCUAUUAGCCGUAGGUGGGCGGAGAGUUAUAAACCUGUUAAUAGCAAUUGAAGACUUAGUUAUAAGUUUGAACAAUUCACCAUUGAAUACAUUUUGUUUCUGGUAAUCAGAAA
rnacentral:lncRNA from 1 species